UACGUAGGGUGCAAGCGUUGUCCGGAAUUAUUGGGCGUAAAGAGCUCGUAGGCGGUCUGUCGCGUCUGCUGUGAAAACUCAGGGCUUAACCCUGAGCUUGCAGUGGGUACGGGCAGACUAGAGGUGCGGUAGGGGAGACUGGAAUUCCUGGUGUAGCGGUGAAAUGCGCAGAUAUCAGGAGGAACACCGGUGGCGAAGGCGAGUCCCUGGACAACUCCUGACACU
rnacentral:rRNA from 1 species